rnacentral:rRNA from 1 species
UACGUAGGGUGCGAGCGUUAAUCGGAAUUACUGGGCGUAAAGCGUGCGCAGGCGGUUUUGUAAGACAGGUGUGAAAUCCCCGGGCUCAACCUGGGAACUGCGCUUGUGACUGCAUCGCUGGAGUGCGGCAGAGGGGGAUGGAAUUCCGCGUGUAGCAGUGAAAUGCGUAGAUAUGCGGAGGAACACCGAUGGCGAAGGCAAUCCCCUGGGCCUGCACUGACGCUCAUGCACGAAAGCGUGGGGAGCAAACAGG